rnacentral:snoRNA from 1 species
AGUCUGUGAUGAUAAACUUAAGGCUUGUUUCUCAAACAUUCGCAGUGGCCGCCCGAGAGUUUUCGCCCCGCCAGGCUUGAGAAUUGAUGCGGUUUUAUCCUUCCUUGGAUGUCUGAGACU